UACGUAGGCAGCGAGCGUUGUUCGGAGUUACUGGGCGUAAAGGGUGUGUAGGCGGUUGUUUAAGUUUGGUGUGAAAUCUCCCGGCUCAACUGGGAGGGUGCGCCGAAUACUGAAUGACUUCGAGUGCGGGAGAGGAGAGUGGAAUUCCUGGUGUAGCGGUGAAAUGCGUAGAUAUCGGGAGGAACACCAGUAGCGAAGGCGACACUCUGGGCCGGUACUGACGCUGAGGAGCGAAAGCGUGGGGAGCAAACAGG
rnacentral:rRNA from 1 species